CAUCCACUAAUCGAGUUAUCCAGCGCCUCUCAUCGAAAGAUCAGGCCAAAAACCCUAGCGGGUUCGCAUCACUUAGUUCAGUCUGUUUGGAGAUAGUGCUAAUCUUGAUGCAUGAUAGGUGCACGGUUUGCAUGGAACAUACCAUAUGCUUGGAAAACAAUUUGUAUGAACCCGAUGGAAUUCCUUGAUGACCUGUGUCAUAUGGAAUCUCGCUUUGGUCUGUUUAGAAACAGUGUUAGUUUCGGUGCAAGAUAUGUGCAUGGUUUGCGCCAAAUGCACCAUAGUCUUAGAAACCAUUUUGGAAGCACCUGUUGGUAGUUUGGUGAAGAGGCUCAAGUGGAAGCUCGGUUUGAUCUAUUUGGAGAUAGUGCUAAUCUUGAUGCAAGAUAGAUUCACGGUCUGCAUGGAACAUACCAUAUGAUUAGAAAUUAAUUUGGACACACCCGAUAGAACUCCUUGAUGACGUGUGUCAUCUAGAAUCUUUCUUUGGUUUGUUUGUAGACAUUGUAAGUUUUAGUGCAAGAUAGGUGCACAGUUUGCGCCUAAUGCACCAUAGUCUAAGAAACCAUUUUGGACGCACUAUUUGGUACUCCUGGGUGAAGAGGCUCAAGUGGAAGCUUGGUUCGGUCAGUUUGGAGAUAGUGCCAAUCCUUAUUCAAGGUAGGUGCAUGGUUUGCAUGGAACAUACCAUAUGCUUGGAAACCAAUUUCGAUGCACCCAAUGGAACUCCUUGAUGACGUGUGUCAUAUGGAAUCUCGCUUCGGUCCAUUUGGAGACAUUGUUAGUUUCGGUGCAAGAUAGGUGCACAGUUUGCACCUAAUGCACCAUAGUCUAAGAAACCAUUUUGGACGCAAUUGUUGGUACUCCUAGGUGAAGGGGCUCAAGUGGAUGCUCGGUUCGGUCUGUUUGGAGAUAGUGCUAAUCUUGAUGCAAGAUAGGUGCACGGUUUGCAUGGAACAUACCAAAUGCUUGGAAAUCAAUCUCGACGCACAUGAUGGAACUCCUAGAUGACGUGUGUCAUACGAAAUCUUGCUUUGGUCUGUUUAGAGACUGUAUUAGUUUCAGUGCAAGAUAGGUGCAAGGUUUGCACAUAAUGUAGCAUAGGCUAAGAAACUAUUUUGGACGCACCCGAUGGUACUCCUAGGUAAAAAGCUCAAGUGAAAGCUCAGUUUGGUCUGUUUGGAGAUAGUGUUGACCUUGAUGCAAGAUAGAUGCACGGUUUGCAUGGAAUGUACCAUAUGCUUAGAAAUUAAUUUGGACACACCCGAUAGAACUCCUUGAUGACGUGUGUCAUACAGAAUCUCUCUUUGGGGUGCUUAGAGACAGUAUUAGUUUCGGUGCAAGAUAUGUGCACGGUUUGCGCCUCAUGCAUCAAAGUAUAAGAAACCAUUUUGGAAGCACCUAAUAUAACUCCAAAAUGGUGCAUUUUGGAUACACUCGAUGGUACUCCUAGGUCAAGGGGCUCAAGUGAAAGCUCAGUUUGGUCUGUUUGGAGAUAGUGCUGAUCUUGAUGCAAGAUAGAUGCACGAUUUGCAUGAAACAUACGAUAUGGUCAGAAAUCAAUUAGGACGCACCUGAUAUAACCCCUUGAUGAUGUGUCAUAUGGAAUCUUGCUUCGGUUCAUUUAGAGACAAUGUUAGUUUUGGUAGAAGAUAUGUGCAUGGUUUACGCCUAAUGCACCAUAGGCUAAGAAACCAUUUUAGACGCACCCGAUGGUACACAUAGUUGAAGAGGCUCUAGUGGAGGCUCCAUUUGGUCUAUUCGGAUAUAAUGCUAAUCUUGAUGCAAGAUAGUUGCACAGUUUGCAUGGAACGUACCAUAUGUUAAGAAAUCAAUUUGGACGCACCUAAUGGAACUUCUAGAUGAUGUGUGUCAUAUGGAAUCUCGCUUCGGUCUGUUUGGAGACAACGUUAGUCUUGGUGCAAGAUAGGUGCAUAGUUUGUGCCUAAUGCACCAUAGUCUAAGAAACCAUUUUUGACGCACCUGUUUGUAUUCCUAGAUGAAGAGGCUCAAGUGGAAGCUCGGUUUGAUUUGUUUGGAGAUAGUGCUAAUCCUGAUGCAAGAUAGAUGCACGGUCUGCAUGGAACAUAGCAUAUGCUUAGAAAUUAAUUUGGGCACACCCGAUAGAACUCCUUGAUAACGUGUGUCAUAUGGAAUCUCGCUUUGGUGUGCUUAGAGACAAUAUUAGCAUCGGUACAAGAUAUGUGCACAGUUUGCGCCUAAUGCAGCGAAGUCUAAGAAACCAUUUUGGAAACACCUAUUGGUACUCCUAGGUGAAGAGGCUCAAGUGGAGGCUCGGUUCGGUCUGUUUAGAGAUAAUUCUAAUCCUGAUGCAAGAUAGGUGCACGAGUUGCAUGGAACAUACCAUAUGCUUAGAAAUCAAUUUGGACACACCACAUGGAACUCCUAGAUGACAUGUGUCAUAUGGAAUCUCACUUCGGUUUGUUUAGAGAUAGUGUUAGUUUCGAUGCAAGAUAGGUGCACGGUUUGCACGUAAUGCACCAUAGGAUAAGAAACCAUUUUGGACACACCCAAUGGUACUCUUAGGUCAAGGGGCUCAAGUGAAAGCUCGGUUUGGUAUGUUUGGAGAUAGUGCUAAUCUUGAUGCAAGAUUGAUGCACGGUUUGCAUGGAACAUACGAUAUGCUCAGAAAUCAAUUAGGACGCACCUGAUAUAACUCCUUGAUGAUGUGUGUCAUAUGAAAUCUUGCUUCGGUUUGUUUAGAGACAGUGUUAGUUUUGGUAGAAGAUAUGUGCGCGGUUUAUGCCUAAUGCACCAUAGGCUAAGAAACCAUUUUAGACGCACCCGAUGGUACUCGUAGUUGAAGAGGCUCAAGUUGAGGCACCAUUUGGUCUGUUCGGAUAUAUUGACAAUCUUGAUGCAAGAUAGUUGCACAUUUUGCAUGGAACGUACCAUAUAUUAAGAAAUCAAUUUGGACGCACCCAAUGGAACUCCUAGAUGACGUGUGUCAUAUGGAAUCUCGCUUCGGUCUGUUUAGAGACAAUGUUAGUUUCGAUGCAAGAUAGGUGCAUAGUUUGUGCCUAAUGCACCAUAGUCUAAAAAACCAUUUUUGACGCACCUGUUUGUAUUCCUAGAUGAAGAGGCUCAACUGGAAGCUCGGUUUGAUCUGUUCGGAGGUAGUGCUAAUCUUGAUGCAAGAUAGGUGCAUGAUUUGCAAGGAACAUACCAUAUGCUUAGAAAUCAAUUUGGACGCACCCAAUGGAACUCCUAGAUGAUGUGUGUCAUAAGAAAUCUUGCUUCGGUCCGUUUGUAGACAUUAUAAGUUUUAUUGCAAGAUAGGUGCAUAGUUUGCGCCUAAUGCACCAUAGUCUAAGAAACCAUUUUGGACGCACUAUUUGGUACUCCUGGGUGAACAGGCUCAAGUGGAAGCUUGGUUUGGUCAGUUUGGAGAUAGUGCUAAUCCUUGAGCAAGGUAGGUGCAUUGUUUGCAUGGAACAUACCAUAUGCUUGGAAAUCAACUUGGAUGCACCCAAUGGAACUCCUUGAUGACGUGUGUCAUAUGGAAUCUUGCUUCGAUCCAUUUGGAGACAUUAUUAGUUUCGGUGCAAGAUAGGUGCACAGUUUGCACCUAAUGCACCAUAGUCUAAGAAACCAUUUUGGACGCACUUGUUGGUACUCCUAGGUGAAGGGGCUCAAGUGGAUGCUCGGUUUGGUCUGUUUGAAGAUAGUGCUAAUCUUGAUGCAAGAUAGGUGCACGGUUUGCAUGGAACAUACCAAAUGCUUGGAAAUCAAUCUGGACACACAUGAUGGAACUCCUAGAUGACGUGUGUCAUACGAAAUCUUGCUUUGGUCUGUUUAGAGACUGUAUUAGUUUCGGUGCAAGAUAGGUGCAAGGUUUGCACAUAAUGUAGCAUAGGCUAAGAAACUAUUUUGGACGCACCCGAUGGUACUCCUAGGUAAAAAGCUCAAGUGAAAGCUCGGUUUGGUCUGUUUGGAGAUAGUGUUGACCUUGAUGCAAGAUAGAUGCACGGUUUGCAUGGAAUGUACCAUAUGCUUAGAAAUUAAUUUGGACACACCCGAUAGAACUCCUUGAUGACGUGUGUCAUACAGAAUCUCUCUUUGGGGUGCUUAGAGACAGUAUUAGUUUCGGUGCAAGAUAUGUGCACGGUUUGCGCCUCAUGCAUCAAAGUAUAAGAAACCAUUUUGGAAGCACCUAAUAUAACUCCAAAAUGGUGCAUUUUGGAUACACCCGAUGGUACUCCUAGGUCAAGGGGCUCAAGUGAAAGCUCAGUUUGGUCUGUUUGGAGAUAGUGCUGAUCUUGAUGCAGGAUAGAUGCACGAUUUGCAUGGAACAUACGAUAUGCUUAGAAAUCAAUUAGGACGCACUUGAUAUAACUCAUUGAUGAUGUGUGUCAUACGGAAUCUUGCUUCGGUUCGUUUAGAGACAGUGUUAGUUUUGGUAGAAGAUAUGUGCACGGUUUACGCCUAAUGCACCAUAGGCUAUGAAACCAUUUUAGAUGCACCCAAUGGUACUCGUAGUUGAAGAGGCUCAAGUGGACGCUCGAUUUGGUCUGUUCGGAUAUAGUGCUAAUCUUGAUGUAAGAUAGUUGCACAGCUCGCAUGGAACAUACCAUAUGUUAAGAAAUCAAUUUGGACACAUCCAAUGGAAAUCCUAGAUGAGUUGUGUUAUAUGAAAUCUCGCUUCAGUCUGUUUGGAAACAAUGUUUGUUUCGGUGCAAGAUAGGUGCAUAGUUUGUGCCUAAUGCACCAUAGUCUAAGAAACCAUUUUUGGCACACGUGUUUGAACUCCUAGAUGAAGAGGCUCAAGUGGAAGCUUAGUGAUGAGGACAUCAACACCAGUGAUACAUCCUCUCCUACAUCCUCUCCGACACAACCUAUAGCUGGUCCUACAUCUCCGACACAACCUAUAGCUGGUCCUACAUCCUCUCCGACACAACCUAUAGCUGGUCCUCUUACUCGUGCUCGUGCCCGUCAACUCAACCUUCAAGUAAGUUCAGUUUUAAACUCUUGUCAAUCAUAUUUAGACAAUGGAGACACGUGCACUUUCGUGUUGCUCAGGAAUAAUGGACAAGAUCAGCAAGGGAAGGUUCAACUGCAUUCAGAAUUUGAGGCAACACCAACUUCAAGGGCUGAUUGCAUAUGGGAAGAGUGAUAACUUAACAAAGGUAAUUGGAGAUCAGGUCCAAGCCUCCACAACAUCCUCUAUCAAGUUACCACGUCGCUUCUAAAGCAAGGAAACAAAGAGUCCAAACCCAACAAGUUUUGGGAGUUGGAUUCGGACUGGAAAAUAACUCUAACUUGUAAGGAUCACCACGGCGUCAUAUGGACUCCAACUGGGACGUUCCUAUACUUGUUGGAAAGCUCAUGAAGUCUACUUUCCAAUGGGUCCAACUACAUAUCUAUGCAGCUUAUGAGUCGGGCGCAGUCCUUGUUUUCGUGCCGCCACCUUUUUCUGUUUUGGUGCUGCGUCACCCUAUUUUGGACCAAUGGCCCAUGUAUCAAGUUGAGUCCAAUAGGGACGCGUCCUAGGGUUGGAGAACGACUCUAGCACCCCUUUGGUCGUCCUCCCCUCUAUUUAUUUACAUCUAGAGCCGCCAUGAACAACUGGGUUUUGUUUAGAUCAAGUUUAGCCUUCGCUACUUGCUUGUAGGCGCGCGUGCAGGAUCAGCCGCCUGUCUCCUUGUCUUCGGAACCCCAUUGUUGAUUCCGAUUCAGUUUGAAACCUUCAAUUCAUCUUGCAAAUUCAGUGCUUGUUUCCUCGUUCUUGCUAGUUCUUUGAUUGCUUGCAGGACGGGAGCCCUAGGGGCUGGUUGUCGCGCUCCACAAGAUCGUGACGGCUGUUGGACGUGGUGUAUCGGUUGCUAAGGCGCAGUCUUGAGGGCUGUAGUCGGGCCGUGAACGUCAUCUCCAUCCACUAAUCGAGUUAUCCAGCACCUCUCAUCGAAAGAUCAGGCCAAAAAUCCUAGCGGGUUCACAUCAGUUCAGAGCAAGGUUUGUCGGUGAGAGAUUUCCAAUUCUUCGUGUUUGUUUUUCCUAUAGUCCAAAAAAAAGCCAAAAAAUAUAGCAGAUUUGUUUUCCAUAAUCCUAUAAAUACUUUGUGCCGUGGCUAGUACUACUUAGUUAGGGCUGGUUGAAUGAGUGUUUGCUUCGGUCGUGUCCAGUGCUGGUUUUAGUUUAGUCCUUUAGAGUUUUGAGUUCUUGUCACCAUCUAGUCACAACUGCGUCCAAUCUAUUGUGGGUUGGAAUUUGAGUAGAUCUUGAUAAUAGAUGCAGCCACUUGUUGGUCUAUUCUGCGUUUCCAUCAACGUGAUCCAAAAGGAAAGAUAGCACUUCAUACUUGUGCUAGAUAUAUUGAAUUUUGAGGUUCAGCCUUACUCUAGUGAGAGGGUGAGAGUGGUGAAGUGAUAUUUUGUACUAUUUUGUUUAUAUAAUCAGGUUUUGAGGUUCCCAAAAAAAAAGAAAAGAGAAAGAAAAAAUAAAGAAAAAAAAGAAAGAAAGAAAGAAAAAAGAAAAAAAAAUCAAAAAAGGGGAUUGUUGUUCCUUUUGUUUCCAGUAGUGCUGCUCAUUUUGUUUCUAGUGGUGUGCUGUGUUUUCCCUUUGUGUCCAGGCUCGCGUCUCUAGCACGGUCUAGCCUAGGACCAGCACAGUACCAUCGUUGAACGCUUAUUCAGCUCGCUUUUAUAACUAACGUGGUGCUAGUUCGUUCCUUGUUUCAGCCCACCUAUAGCUCACAUACUCUACAGCUUGACAGGUCUUGUGCUGCAGCACCGAUACACUUCGUCCAUUGCUGUACACUUGUUGGCAGACGACCCCUCCUGUCAAGCAAGGUAAGAAUUGGUAAGAACUUGUGUUACAGGUUGAGUGUGAGCGACUUGCUGUAGCUACAUCCUAGUAGUUGUAGGGCUUUUAUUUCUUCACUUGCCUUUUUGUUGUCUUUGUCUUUGAACCAUGCCAGGGGCAGAUGAUGGUAACGAAACACCACAUACACCUCGCACUAAGGGCAUCAUACAACAUUUUGAAAGGAAAGUGAAGCUGCACACAGAGGGAUUUGAUAACGACUUGCAGGUGACAAAUGAAAAGCUGGGGCAGUUGGAGGCUACGCAGAUUGCCACAAACAACAAGCUCACAAGUUUGGAGGAAUCCGUUGCUAGUGUGGACAAAAGCCUUGCUGCUCUCCUAAGACGAUUUGAUGAUUUCCGCACCGAAGACAAAGAGAAGCAUAAGGAAGAAAACAAGGAGGAAGACCG
rnacentral:lncRNA from 1 species